UUCAAGUUUCAACUCGAUCUCUGCUAACUGCUGUCCGACUGCAGUGAAGCAAUGGGUUCCAAGGCAGGGGGAAGUUCGGUUGAUUUAUGGUCAAAAAUCGUAGGUGCAGAUGCACCACAACAGCAGCAGCAACAAAUCGAGGUGGUCUACAGAAGAAGAAAAACCCAGAACAACCAAAAGGACUUGAACUUAAAGCAUUCUGAUUUCGGUCGCCCGCCUGCGAAUCGCGUGAGUUUGGUCGACCCAAACAAGCUAGUCAGUUGGAAUCGAU